UUGAGUACGGCAGCUCGGCUGCCGAACUCUACUACACUGGCGACAAGGGUGGGACCCGGUCGGCUUUCCACGUGCUUCUGUUGCUGCUGAAGUCAAGACGAAGGCUACGUGUGCGUCACUGCAAUGGCGAAGCUUAUAAAAAGUACAGAGGUCCUCGAAUUGCUGAUGAUGACGGAAGAAUCGUGGGUGCAGGACGAUUGUAUUUGUCUCAAGUUGACGUGGCUGACAGAUACCCCUAAAGGAUCUGAGCGAACCCUUCACUGCUAUGCUGACAGGACACGACUGUCAGUAUCUUUACACUGAAAUUACUCCGAAUUUAUUUGCUGAUUUAAAAAUGUACUCAUUUUCCUUUUUUAAAGACAGAGAAAUGAGAAUAAAGAAAGGUAGGAAUGUUCUUUUUUAAGUACUCAUUCUGCUAGAUAUGCAGCUGCACGCACCAAAAAAAUACCUUUCUCAUGAUUAAAAAUAGGUGCUCGACCA